rnacentral:tRNA from 1 species
GACCGUGUGGGCUAAUGGAUAAGGCAUCGGACUUCUAAUAAGUUAAAAAGACAUCCGAAAAUUGCGGGUUCGAAUCCCGCCUCGGUUC